UACGUAGGUCCCGAGCGUUGUCCGGAUUUAUUGGGCGUAAAGGGUGCGCAGGCGGAACCAUAAGUCUGAAGUAAAAGCCAUCGGCUCAACCGAUGUAAGCUUUGGAAACUGUGGAUCUGGAGUGCAGGAGAGGACAGUGGAAUUCCAUGUGUAGCGGUAAAAUGCGUAGAUAUAUGGAGGAACACCAGUGGCGAAGGCGGCUGUCUGGCCUGUAACUGACGCUGAGGCACGAAAGCGUGGGGAGCAAAUAGG
rnacentral:rRNA from 1 species